GGGACAGGACACCUGCUUGCAGAGCCUGCCCUGCCACGAAGGAGCCGUUUGGCUGUGGCUCAACCUUCCAUUUCUGCCUCUCCUGAACAAGGGGGUUGAGGCAGGUGAGGCCCCAGUCCCUCCCCGGCCUGCAGCUUUGUGUUCAGGUUUUCCCUCCCCAUCUUCCAGGCCCCGUCAGAGCACAUCCACCACAAAGGCACUUCCCUCAAGGAUUUUUCCAGCAGGUGGACUGAAACAGAGGCCAAGACCUCUCACUUUUCUGCAUGAUUUAAAGGGGAAACAUGUACAGCUUCCUCACACUUUGUGGCACAUUUGCAUAGACCUACCCGCUGUGAAACAUCUGGGCUGCCUCCUGCUUUCUGUAACCAUUUCCACACAUUUCCACAGCCUUCAUUACUAAAGGGACUCUACUUCCUCUACUGAUGUCUGCUGUCAUUCCACUGGCAUGUCAUGUCACAUCCUGCAGUGAUAUCCGCAUUACAGUGACUUCUUGCUUGCAACAAGCUCUCUCAGCUGCUCCUGGAAAAGUUGUGUUUCUAUAAACACUUCAAUAGGUCAUCAAGUUCUAGAAUUGUAACCAUGAGGAAAAUAUUGAAAACUAUCUCUGCAAUCCAAUAGCUUACUUCACUUUCCUGACAAAUGACUGAAUAUUUGUUAGCUCUGUUAAGAGUUCCCAGAAAUGUUCUAUCAUCCCCAUAAAAUAUAAGCCGGACCCUAAGGUGCUAUGUCCCAGCUCUGCUGUGUAUUUCCUGCUGCUGUAUUACCGUGCCACAUCUAGUUCACCUGUUCACUGAGCUAACACCUAUGCAUGGAGCAUCAGCUAAGUGCUCAGUCCUAAUCUUUGUGGAAUAGGUGCCUAAGCUGAGACUGAGCCUGGCUUUUAGACAAACUUGAUGGUCAGAAGGGGAGUGGGUGAAGAGGUGGGUACUGCUCUUUUAAAAUUGUAAACAUAAGCUUGGCACAGUGGCUCAUGCCUGUAAUCCCAGCACUUCGGAAGGCCAAGGUAGGAGGAUCACUUGAACCCAGGAGUUGAAGACCAGCCUGGGUAACAUCAUGACACCCCAUCUAUACAAAAAAUAAAGAAGUUAUCCAAGCAUAGUGGUGCA
rnacentral:lncRNA from 13 species